GGCCCCGCCUGCCGGAAUUAGCCAACCCUGCCUGAAAAUUGAAGUCUGAGAACAAGUUAAAUUAAACAAAACUUUCAACAACGGAUCUCUUGGUUCUGGCAACGAUGAAGAACGCAGCGAAAUGCGAUAAGUAAUGUGAAUUGCAGAAUUCAGUGAAUCAUCGAAUCUUUGAACGCACAUUGCGCCCCCUGGUAUUCCGGGGGGCACACCUGUCCGAGCGCCAUUUCUACCCUGGAGCCCUGCUCUGUGAUGGGCCCCGUCCUCGCGGACGGGCCCGAAACCCGUGGGCGCCGUCGUCCGGUCCCGAGCGUAGCAAGAGAAAUCCCUCGCUCGGAGCGCCUGGCGGUGGCCGCCCCGACCCAUUUUUACAAGGUUGGCCUCGGAUCAGGUGGGGAUACCCGCUGAACUUAAGCAUAUCAAUAAGCGGAGGAAAAGAAACCAACAGGGAUUGCCUCAGUAACGGCGAGUGAAGCGGCAACAGCUCAAAUUUGAAAUCUGGCUCACGCCCGAGUUGUAAUUUGUAGAGGAUGUUUCGGGUGAAGCCGCGGUCCAAGUCCCUUGGAACAGGACGUCAUAGAGGGUGAGAACCCCGUACCUGGCCGCCGGUGCCCCCCGCUGUGAAACUCCUUCGACGAGUCGAGUUGUUUGGGAAUGCAGCUCUAAAUUGGUGGUAAAUUCCAUCUAAAGCUAAAUACCGGCCAGAGACCGAUAGCGCACAAGUAGAGUGAUCGAAAGAUGAAAAGCACUUUGAAAAGAGAGUUAAAAAGUACGUGAAAUUGUUGAAAGGGAAGCGCUUGCGGCCAGACUUGCCCGCGGUUGCUCAGCCCGCCUUUUGGCGGGUGUACUCUUCCGCGGUCAGGCCAGCAUCGGUUUGGGCGGUCGGAUAAAGGCGUUGGGAACGUGGCCUCCCCUCGGGGAGGUGUUAUAGCCCGGCGCGCAAUGCGGCCAGCCCGGACCGAGGU
rnacentral:sRNA from 2 species